CUCAACUUCAACUUUCAUUCACCAAUAAACUUAGUACAAUCAAUUAACCUCAACAGAGAUUAUACCACAAUACAAUGAGGGGAUCUAGUGCCACCCAUGAUCACUUCCAAGGACCAUACGCCACCUAAUCCAAAUCUCAUUGUACCUUAAGCCACAGUGAGAUGAAUUUACCCUACAGGUCAGAGUAAACCAUCUCUUCUACCACCUAAUUCGACCAAAACGAUACAAGACAACUAACACACAAUGAAACUAAACCUAUUCAUGGAAUUACAAAUGCAAACCAAGCCGUGGUAACCGUAUAAUCCACGUGCUCUCCAUGUACCAUCAGCAACAACACCAAAGGCGCUUUUCCAGAACGGGUUGAGCCAUCGGAGUUCCUUGCCUGAUCCUUAGCCUUAAAACCGGACAGAGAGUCCGGACUGAGAAAGUCGGGCUUCGACGACAACACAUACCGGCAAGAUAAUCUAAGCAUCAAGAAGAGUGAAACUCAUACCACCGGAACGAGUCACAGCAUCAACUCCGGCGCUGGGAUGUAGAGCUCCACCACGUACGCCAAACAGGGCUCGCUUCUCCGGUUGACCACUCCGUCGUCGCAAACCCCAAUACGUGUCGUCUCUGAAAACCAGAGGACGAAGCUUCCUUCUGCUAGCCGUUAAAACUCUCCUCCGGUAGUCUCACCGCCGCGCAGGAGUGAAGAUCCGGAGUGGAGGAGGCCUCUGACCACGUCACGCGCCGCCGUCGAGAGAGGAUUCACCCGAGAUCUUAAAAAGGAAAAUUAGAUCUGGGAAUCCUCAAACCCUAAAAGCCGACCCACUCUGCCACCGUCACUCCGUGGGUCUCGCCGCUGCUCCAAAGUAAGUCCAAGACCGUCUCCGUCGAUCUACAAUAGAUUCUCUGGGGAAGUCUCGUCAGAUUCAGAACCGCUUGCAUAUCGACGAAGGAGUAGUGCGGUGGUGGAGAGAGCAAAUAGAAAAAGAGGAAGAGAAAAGAGAAAGGGGGCCUCCGGCACCGACAAACGCCGGGCCGGAGCUAAAGUUUCAAGCUUUGGUUUCUAGAGAGAUGGGAGAGCGUUUAGCGUAGAGAGAGAA
rnacentral:lncRNA from 1 species